rnacentral:rRNA from 1 species
UACGUAGGGUCCAAGCGUUAUCCGGAAUCACUGGGCGUAAAGCGUGCGUAGGUGGUCUGUUAAGUGAGAUGUGAAAGCGUGUGGCUCAACCAUAUCGUUGUGUUUCAUACUGGCAGACUAGAGGACAGCAGAGGCAAGUGGAAUUACGAGUGUAGCGGUAAUAUGCGUAGAUAUUCGUAGGAACACCAAUGGCGAAGGCAGCUUGCUGGGCUACUCCUGACACUGAGGUACGAAAGCCAGGGGAGCAAACGGG